UACGGAGGGAGCUAGCGUUGUUCGGAAUUACUGGGCGUAAAGCGCACGUAGGCGGCUUUGUAAGUUAGAGGUGAAAGCCCGGGGCUCAACCCCGGAAUUGCCAUUGAAACUGUAAGACUUGAGGAUGAGAGAGGUGAGUGGAAUUCCCAGUGUAGAGGUGAAAUUCGUAGAUAUUGGGAAGAACACCGGUGGCGAAGGCGGCUCACUGGCUCAUUACUGACGCUCAGGCGCGACAGCGUGGGGAUCAAACAGG
rnacentral:rRNA from 1 species